GGUAGGGAGUUGGGGAGGGGUAAUAUGGGGAGAAAUGCCAGAUAUAGGUGAUGGGGGGAUGGAGGCAGCAAACCACAUGGCCGUGAAUGUACCUACGCAACAGUGCUGCAUGAUCUGCACAUGUACCCCAGAACUUAAAGUACAAUUA